rnacentral:rRNA from 1 species
AUUGAACGCUGGCGGAAUGCUUUACACAUGCAAGUCGAACGGCAGCACGGGGGCAGCCCUGGUGGCGAGUGGCGAACGGGUGAGUAAUACAUCGGAACGUGCCCGGUCGUGGGGGAUAACGUAGCGAAAGUUACGCUAAUACCGCAUACGAUCUGAGGAUGAAAGCGGGGGACCUUCGGGCCUCGCGCGAUCGGAGCGGCCGAUGUCAGAUUAGGUAGUUGGUGGGGUAAAGGCCUACCAAGCCGACGAUCUGUAGCUGGUCUGAGAGGACGACCAGCACACUGGGACUGAGACACGGCCCAGACUCCUACGGGAGGCAGCAGUGGGGAAUUUUGGACAAUGGGCGCAAGCCUGAUCCAGCCAUUCCGCGUGCAGGACGAAGGCCUUCGGGUUGUAAACUGCUUUUGUACGGAACGAAAAGGCUCUGGCUAAUACCUGGGGCUCAUGACGGUACCGUAAGAAUAAGCACCGGCUAACUACGUG